UACGAAGGGGGGCUAGCGUUGCUCGGAUUGACUGGGCGUAAAGGGCGCGUAGGCGGUUCGUACAGUCAGACGUGAAAUUCCUGGGCUCAACCUGGGGGCUGCGUUUGAUACGUGCGGACUUGAGUGCGGAAGAGGGUCGUGGAAUUCCCAGUGUAGAGGUGAAAAUUCGUAGAUAUUCGCAAGAACACCAGUGGCGAAGGCGGCUCACUGGCCCGAUACUGACGCUGAGGCACGAAAGCGUGGGGAGCAAACAGG
rnacentral:rRNA from 1 species